rnacentral:lncRNA from 1 species
CUCACUGUUCAAAUAAACCUACCAUUAAAAUUAUAGACUGAUCAUUUCUUUGUCAGUGGGCAAAUGUACAAAAUCAGCAGGGGAUCAAAUACUUUUUUCCCUCACUGUAAAAUGAACAGUAAACAUUACACUCACAAACGUUCCAAAGGAAUAGAGACAUUUCAAAUGUCAUAUUAUCUCUAUAUACAAUGGUGUAACGUGCAAAUAAGGAAAAUGUAAGUACAAAAGGGAAAAUAAAUAAACAUAAAUAUGUGUUUGUUCUUCACUGGUUGCCACUUCUUACGGCAACAGGUCACAAAUCUUGCUGCUGUGAUUGCACACUGUGGUAUUUCACGCAAUAGAUAUGGGAGUUUAUCAAAAUGGGGCAGUGUGCACAUAGCCUGUCUUCUCUUGAGAGCCAGGUCUGCCUACGGCGGCCUCUUUCAAUAGCAACGCUAUGCUCACUGAGUCUGUACAUAGUCAAUUCUUUCCUUAAUCUUGGGUCAGUCACAGUGGUCAGGUGUUCUGGCACUGUGUACUCUCUGCUUAGCGCCAAAUAGCAUUCUAGUUUACUCAGUUUUUUUGUUAAUUCUUUCCAAUGUGUCAAGUAAUUAUCUUUUUGUUUUCUCAUGAUAUGGUUGUGUCUAAUCGUGUUGCUGUCUCUCUCUCUCUCUCUCUCUGCCCCUCUCUCUCUGUCCCUCUCUCUCUUCCUCUCUCUCUGCCCCUCCUCUCUCUGUCCCUCUCUCUCUGUUAUUGCCUCUCUCUCUCUCUCUCUCUCUCUCUCUCUCAAUUCAAUUCAAAGGGCCUGUGUCCCUCUCUGCCCCUCCUCUCUCUGUCCCGAUUUCUCUCUGUCCCUCUCUCUCAGCCCCUCCUCUCUCUGUCUCUCUCUUCGUCCCUCUCUCUCUGCCCCUCUCUCUCUGCCCCUCUCUCUCAAUGUCCCGCCUCUCUCUGUUCCUCUCUCUCUCUGUCUCUCUCUCUGCCCCUCCUCUCUCUGUCUCUCUCUCUGUCCUUCUCUCUCUGUCCCGUUUUCUCUCGGUCCCGCUUUCUCUCGGUCCCUCUCUCUGUCUCUCUCUCUGUCCCUCUUCUCUUUGUCCCUCUCUCUCUCUGUCCCUCUCUCUCUGCCACUCAUCUCUCUGUGCCUCUAUCUCUCUGUCCCUCUCUCUCUCUCUCUCUCUCUCUCUCUGUCCCUCUCUCUCGCUGCCCCAUCUCUCUUUGCUCAUCUUUCUCUCUGUCCCUCUCUCUACCCCUCCUGUCUCUGUGUAUCUCUCUCUCUGCCCCUCCUGUCUCUGUCCCUCUCUCUCUCUGUGUCCCUCUCUCUCUCUACCCCUCCUCUCUCUGCUCCUCCCCUCUCUGUCCCUCUCUCUCUGCCCCCCUCUCUCUGCCCCUCCCCUCUCUGCCCCCCUCUCUCCAUCGAUGCCAUUAAUGUCACACAGUCGUGUCAAUAAGGGUUUCAUCUCAUUUCCAGAUGCCGACCUACAAUAGAUCAUUGUGUUAAAGUUACAGGAAGUGGUGAUUCUACACGUGCAGGUGGACCUCCUAUUUCUGCUCACUGGUUCCAGUAGGUUUACUGGUAGGUCAACGGAACAGCCACUUCCUGUUUCUCAGAACACCGCCACUACUUGUAACAGUUCCAGGACGUUUCACCACAUCGCCCGCCAGUAGACUCCUGGGGCCUGUACGGCACAAGCCUUGUGUUGCGUGUGAAACCAAGAAUGACCAUAGUCAAGAGAGUAUGAACUUUACAUAGCACCCUAUAAUCAUCUAACCUGGAGUGUUUAGUGGAACUAUCGUCUAUCUGGAACAAACCGUGAAUACAGUCUCUAACUAUUGUCUAUCUGUGCUGACUCCUCACCUCUGUUUCUGGAACAAACCGUGAAUACAGUCUCUAACUAUCGUCUAUCUGUGCUGACUCCUCACCUCUGUUUCUGGAACAAACCGUGAAUACAGUCUCUAACUAUCGUCUAUCUGUGCUGACUCCUCACCUCUGUUUCUGGAACAAACCGUGAAUACAGUCUCUAACUAUCGUCUAUCUGUGCUGACUCCUCACCUCUGUUUCUGGAACAAUCUAUGAAUACAGUCUCUAACUAUCGUCUGUCUGUGCUGACUCCUCACCUCUGUUUCUGGAACAAUCUAUGAAUGCAGUCUCUAACUAUUGUCUGUCUGUGCUGACUCCUCACCUCUGUUUCUGGAACAAACUGUGAAUACAGUCUCAGUUAAAGCGUGAACAUUGCCUU